AUUAAUUAUCGCGGAAGAGAGACGAAUGGAAUUGAUAGAUUCAUGACAAAAGACAUACGACGUACGAUUUCCGCGUCGACGAUACGUAAACGAAGGUUAUCAUCGAGAGGAUUCUCUGUUCGUGCACGAACACAUAUCUGAAUCGUAAAGAGCAACGGGACGACGCGACACCCUGAUUCUGGGUACUAUAGCUGGUUCCUCCGAGCGUGCUCUUGACCGCCCAAACGGCGCCAACCACCGUUCCGUCGCGUCCGCGUUUUUCGUUCGCCAACACCAAAGUAACAUCACGGUGGCAACGGGUCAACGUUUCGUAUACCGGAUUAUCUGUUCAUGGUACAGGGUAACGUUACCAGUCAAUUCAACACUUUCUCUUGCAUCAUUUUCAAUGUAAGUACAAGCGUAGAAUUUCGAAUCGCUUCGAUAGACUUGUUUGAGAAGAGAAACAUUCUUCAAACUGUUGAAAAGUUUAAGAAACUUCAAUGGGAAAAAAACUAUACAUACUCGGAUUUAAAAUUUAAAUGAAGAAUAAAAGAAUAGCCUGACGUUGUAAAAUUUCAAGGAUCAUCUUUUCUUGGAAACGGAGACGAGAGGUAUCGAAAUGUUGUGUGUUUUUUUUCUUGCCUGUUCUUUCCUAAAUAUCAGCGUAUCCUAUUCCUCGCCAAUCUUACUGAAAGAAAAAUAAAUUGUUCCAAUGAAUCGACAGAUAGCUAUUAUUCAUCAAGAAUUAUUCGAUGCAAUAAUUUCGAUUAAAUUUACUUCUCUGAUAACGCGUCUUAAACAAGAAAACUAUCUGACUGAUCGUGAAAGGGCAGCAGCCAAACAUCGGGGGGUGACUCUUUAAAAGUCUGAAGAAAAAGAUUGUCAGUCGAACGGAUCUCAUCGUUGAAACAUCUGAGCGUGCCAUAUGAUUGCUAUUACACGUUUCUACGAGUCACGUAAUAGACGAGCUUGCGAACGUUACAUCAACGGUUUUAUAAAUUCCAUGUGUUCACCUAAGAAAUGAUGUUAAUGUUCAAUACCGUUCACAAGUAUCGAAACAGUUGCUAUCAUGGAAACGACAAUACAUAAAUGUUAUUACAUAUGUGUAUAUUGGAGAAAAAUCAAUUUCCUUUCUACAGAGUUAUGUAGGCGUAAUUAUAAAAAAAUUUGAUAGGACCAUGUUAAAAAGAAAAUUUUACGAGAAAAAUUAUGUAAAAAGAAAGCGGGGAAACGAGCUGAAGAGCGGCGGCAAUUCGAACGAGUCGUGGUCCGAGAGUGGGCGUUUGUGCGAUAUCAAAAGUUAUCUGCACCCGCCGACGCGACGUGCCUGAAUUUAUUAAACGAAAAGUACGGUAAACGAUCUCUCUCUCUCUCUCUCUCUUUCUCUGGAUACAGGCAAUGACUUACCACUUGAUCGAAUCAGUUACGAUGAAAAGGGAGCUCUGAACGUAUCGCAUCGUGUGUUUGUCGUAACAACGGACUACAUUUUCGCAGAAUGAAUACGAAAUCAGUUAACUGUGAUUCGGCUAUGAUACAUAGUCGAACACGAUACAACAGGCUUCCUGACGUUUAUGUUUCAUGGGACACCGUUCCUCUCGCGUCCUUGACUUGAUUCGUUAAACCAACAUACGAAUUUUCAUUUAUCCGUUGAGAUCCUCUCGAAUGUUUACAAUUCUGAACAAUCCACUAAAUUGUUCUUCACUGUAAUUAGUUCUCAUUUUAAAGUUAGGAUAAUAAAAAUAUUUCAAUUUAUAAACAACGAGGAACGCGGAGAAAAUCCAAGUAUGUAGGUGGUUAAGAAGCGCGAAUCGAACGAAUUUAAAAUCUUAAAUACAUACAUACAUACAUAUAGCGAGUCACGUGAAAAACAGAA